rnacentral:rRNA from 1 species
GAUGAACGCUAGCGGUGCGCCUAACACAUGCAAGUCGAGCGCCCUCACUUUGUCUCCGAUUUUUCGGAGCCAGUGUGAGGGAGCGGCGAACGGGUGAGUAACACGUUGGAACCUACCCCAGACUCAGGGAUAGCCCGCCGAAAGGUGGAUUAAUACCGGAUAGUCUCGUAAAGAGUAAAGCUUUUGCGGUCUGGGAGGGGCCUGCGGCCUAUCAGCUAGUUGGUAAGGUAAUGGCUUACCAAGGCUAUGACGGGUAACUGGUGUGAGAGCAUGACCAGUCACAAUGGAACUGAGACACGGUCCAUACUCCUACGGGUGGCAG